GUGGCUGUGGGCGGAGUCAUGUGACUGUAGGCGGGGUCAUUUGACUUGAAAGCUAAAAUUAUCAUCACAGGUCUGAGGUCAGAUUUCAGCAGAGAGGACACAACAUGGAGGACAACUGUUUCUGUUUGUUAUGUUUCAGCUGUCUCGGCCCAAUCAGGGAGUUCAUCUAGAAGACGAGGUCAGAGGUCAUCAUGAUGGGCGUGUCCGCGUGCGUCUCCGUCAGCUCCAUCAAGGCUCUGUGGGAGGGGAAGAUCCGGGCGAGGAAGGAGGAGGAGCACAGAUGGAGGACAGCCAGGGGCGGAGUCACUGGAAGUUUGCUCGUGGGGGUCUGGGAGGACCGGGCGAUUCUGGCCCGACUCAAACAGAAGCUGCAGACAGAAGACGGACGGCUGGUUCUCCGAAUCGAGAAGGAGGAGUGGAAGUCUUUGCCAGACUGUUUGAUCCAGCUCAGUCAGGUCCAGGAGUGGCAGAUCCACCGGACUGGACUCCAGAAGAUCCCUCACUUCAUAUCUAGCUUCCAGAACCUUCUGAUUCUUGAUCUGUCCCGUAAUGGGAUCACAGAGAUCCCCAAACAGAUCGGAAAGCUGGUCCGGCUUCGAGAGCUGCUGCUGAGCUACAACAGAGUUCAGUUUGUUCCCGAAGAGCUGAGCUGCUGUGAAAAUCUGGAGAAACUGGAACUUGCCAUGAACCAGGAUGUGGACCACCUGCCAGACCAGUUCAGGAACCUGAAGAAGCUGCAGCACCUGGACCUGUCAAUGAACCUCUUCACCUCCAUUCCAGACUGCGUCGUUGGACUGCCAGCGCUCGAGUGGCUCGAUAUGGGUGGAAACCGAUUGCAGCACUUACCUGAGGACAUACACAGGAUGGAGAAGCUACACACAAUGUGGCUCCAGAGGAACGAGAUCGAGAAACUCCCAGAAAACAUCAGCAGAAUGUCCAGUCUGGACACACUGGUCCUCAGCAGCAACAGACUGAGAGACAUCCCCCCUCUGAUGGAUGACAUGUCCAACCUCAGGUUUGUUAACUUCCGGGACAACCCUCUGACUCUGGACGUGACGCUGCCAUGCAGGAAGACGAAGGCUGAGGACGAUGAAGAUGAAGAUGAUGAAGAUGAUGAUGACAGAGAGAUGUUUGGACGAGAGUUCAUGAAGAUUUACAUCGAGGAGGCCAGGAAGAGGUCGUACGCUGUGCUCAACAUGCACCGCAUCAACCGUUAGUUCCAACACGUCACCGCACUCACAGAACCUUGUGGAGCUCCGUGACUAAGUUGUGUGUCCAUGGAGGAGUCAGGGUGAACAUGAGUGUGGCUCCAAGGGCGGGAAGCAGCAAGAAGAACCAAUCAAAAUGUGCUCAUGAGUUUACAGAACAAAACCCUUCUGUUGUAUGUUAGGCUCAAAGCAGGAGUGGACCACGAGGAGGAACUUAUUUAAAAACAUCAGUUUUCUUCUGUCAAAAGUCAAACUGUGUUUUUCAGUCAGUUAAUUUACUGAAGAAGCUCGAGAGAAACAGCUGAAAGCUCCGACAACACCUUCAGUUCAAAUGAAUUAACUUCAAAAUGACUACAACUAUUAACCAUAACAGUAAUUGAUACACAUGACACUAAAAUGAAUGUUGAAUUUAUAAUCAAUCAUAUUCUUAAUGGUAAAAUACUCAUCAGAAUGUUUUACUAUAAAAUGUUUGAUUAUAAAUCCCUGAUAAUUAACUGAUGAAUAACUAAUAAUUGUUUCUUUUGUGAAUAUUGCAGAUGAUUCUUCAGACCUGAUGUGUUGCUGAGCUUCUUCUUCUGCAGCUUUUUCAAUCUAAAGACGUUUUAUUGUCUAGUGACGGCUGAAAGAGUCAAAUCUGCUGACUCUUCAUUAUGCUGAUGAACUUUGACCUUCUCCAGCUGUGAUCCUGUGAUGUGUCAAAACAACAGGAAACGGAAAAUUCUUAACAGAAACUUUAUCAAACAUUAAACUCAGUCGCAUGACUUCACAAAA